CUUACUUGUUCAUUCCACAUUUCCUUUUCUGCUUAUUAAGGAGUAAGUAUUUUUCUUGUUUUCAACAAAACCAGACUCAAAAAUUCAAUCAAUGAAGAGCAAAAAGGAAUCCAGCUUCUCCCGCUUCGAUCUUCUCUCCGAAGAAAUAGUCUUCACAAUCCUCGAUUUCCUCCACCAAAACCCCUGCGAUGUCAAGUCAUUCUCUCUUGUUUGUACCUCAUUCCACGCAAUCGAGUCUCGCCACCGGAGAUUCCUGAAACCCCUCCGCUCCGAGCAUUUCCCCAAGCUCUUCGCCAGGUAUCGCCAUGUCUCAAAUCUCGAUCUCUCCCUGUGUCCGAGGAUAACCGACACCUCCCUCGGCGCGAUCGCCGCCGGUUGCAAGGAGGAAUUGAGGUCGAUUGAUCUGUCUAGGUCGAGCUUCUUCUCCCCCGCGGGGUUGUCGAAUUUGGUUGCGAAUUGCUCCAAUUUGGUGGAGAUUGAUCUGUCGAAUGCGGCGGAGCUCAGGGAUACGGCGGCGGCGGCGGUGGCGGAGGCUAGGAAUCUGGAGAGGCUGUGGCUGGUGAGGUGUAAAUCGAUUACGGAUAUUGGGAUUGGGUGUAUUGCUGUGGGGUGCCGGAAAUUGAGGCUGCUUAGCUUGAAAUGGUGUUUGGGGAUUGGGGAUUUGGGGGUGGGAUUGAUUGCUGUGAAAUGCAAGGGUUUGAGGAGUCUGGAUCUCUCUUAUUUGCCGAUCACGAAUAAAUGUUUGUCACAAGUAUUAGAGUUGCAACACCUUGAAGAUCUCGUUCUUGAAGGAUGUUUUGGAAUUGACGACGACAGGCUCACAGCUCCGAAGCUAGGAUGCAAAUCAUUGGAGACGCUUGAUAUGUCGAGCUGUCAGAAUGUGAGCUACGUCGGUUUGACUUCUCUAACCAGCGCUGUUGGAAGUCUCAGGCAACUCAUCUUAUCAUAUGGCUCUCGUGUGGAUCUUGCUCUUGCUAAUAGUUUGCAGAGCCUUUCGACGUUACAAUGUAUAAAACUUGAUGGCUGCCAGGUCACUUGCUCGGGACUCAAGGCCAUUGGAAACUUGUGCAUCUCCUUGAAGGAACUGAGCCUCAGUAAAUGUGUCGGGGUGACAGAUGAAGGACUUUCCUCACUCGCAACUAAGCAUAAAGACUUGCAGAAGCUGGACAUCACCUGCUGCCGCAAGAUAACUCACGUCUCGCUUGCUCACAUCACGAAUUCUUGCACCUCCCUCGUCUCCCUAAAGAUGGAGUCAUGCACCUCGGUUUCUGCUGAAGCUUUCGUCUUGAUAGGGCAGCGGUGCCAGCUUCUUGAGGAGCUUGACCUCACUGACAAUGAAAUAGACGAUGAAGGCCUCAAGUCCAUCUCGAGCUGCUCACAGCUCUCGAGCAUUAAGCUCGGGAUCUGCCUGAAUAUAACGGACGAGGGUGCAACACACAUUGGCAUUUCGUGUUCAAAGCUCAAAGAGAUAGACUUAUACAGAUCAGCUGGGGUUACGGAUUCAAGUAUUCUAGCCAUUUCUCGUGGCUGCCCCGUCCUUGAAAUGAUCAAUGUAGCCUAUUGCACGUCCAUAUCUGAUACCUCCUUGAUCGCCUUGUCAAAAUGCACAAAGAUGAGCACAUUAGAGACUCGAGGAUGCCCCCUUGUCACAUCGUUGGGCCUAGCUGCCAUCGCCGUCGGAUGCAAGCAACUCACCCGAUUAGACAUCAAGAAAUGUGUGAACAUAGACGAUGGGGGAAUGAUUCCUCUAUCUCACUUCUCUCAGAAUCUCAAGCAGAUAAAUUUGUCCUAUACCAAUGUCACGGACUUGGGGCUCUUGUCACUCGCGAGGAUCAGCUGCCUGCAGAGCAUGACCCUCCUCAACCGGGAGGGGGUGACUCCAGCUGGACUAGCCGCUGCACUCUUGGCGUGCAGCGGGCUAACAAAAGUGAAGCUUCAGGCAUCGUUCAAGUCGCUGUUGCCACCUCGGCUCUUUGAGCAUUUGGAGGCCCGCGGCUGCUCUCUCCAGUGGAGAGAAAAGGUAUUUCAGGCUGAAUUGGAUCCUAAGUGUUGGAAACUGCCGUUGGUGGAUUUGGAGUAGGUGGAGUAUGUGAUCUCGCGAUACGACCUAUGGCUGAUUGUCGGGUUCCAGAGCUAGAUCGACGUUGAUGGUCUUCGUUGUACAGUAUAGUAGGUGUGGUUCUGCUUGGUAUCCGGCGACGGCUCUGGCGGAGCUAGCGGAUGAGGCAACGAGAGAGAUGCCGAAGAUGAAGAGGAAGCGACGGCGAUGCUACUAUCCAGCGAGGGACAAAGAAAAUAUCUACCCGGGCGAUGCUGGCGUGAAGGGGGACGACCCUGGUAACGGCGGCGAGUCCAGCGGCUGAAUGCAGGGCAACAGUUACGUCAACAGCGGCGGUGGCGUGAAACCAUGAGAGAGGCGUGAGAAAAAAACGAGAAGAAGAAAGGGAGAGGAAGGAGAAAAAUGGGCGAGGGGGCGGCUGCUGGCCGAGAGAGCCGCCGGAGCUCAUCACAGCUAGGCUGGCGUGUGAGGGCGGCUGGGCGAGCUAUGCAUUGCGGCGGGUGUGGAGGAAGCAAGUGGGCGGCGUAUAAGGGCGGUGGGCGGCGAGGCAAGCGGAAGGAGGCAGGUGGGGCGGGCGGCGGCGCAUGGCAGGGCGGUAGGAGUAGGAUGGGAGAGAAAUGAGGCGCAUUAUAUUGAUUUAGUUUCAUGGAAUAUUAGUUAUUGUAUAUUAAUUGGGCUCUAAUUUUGAGCUAGCGUAUAAUUUGGAUUCUUAUAGUGGAGU